rnacentral:piRNA from 1 species
CCACUACACCAUCGGCAAGGAGA